rnacentral:rRNA from 1 species
UACAGAGGUGGCAAGCGUUGUUCGGAAUUAUUGGGCGUAAAGCGCGCGCAGGCGGUCCUUUAAGUCUGAUGUGAAAGCCCACGGCUCAACCGUGGAAGGUCAUUGGAAACUGGAGGACUUGAGUACAGAAGAGGAAAGCGGAAUUCCACGUGUAGCGGUGAAAUGCGUAGAGAUGUGGAGGAACACCAGUGGCGAAGGCGGCUUUCUGGUCUGUAACUGACGCUGAGGCGCGAAAGCGUGGGGAGCAAACAGG